rnacentral:other from 1 species
AUUGAACUGCAACGUUGGUGACUGCCAAUAUAGUUUAUUGAUCUAUGCUUGUAAUAUAAGGGAAUUCGCAAGCUCCGGUGGCAGUAGACUGGGCAUUAGUACCCAGAAACUUUAUACCAAGAGCGCGAUUACCCACCUGGCUCGUCCAGGUCAUAAGCUGAGGUAAAACGGCGUUGCGGUCAAUUU